rnacentral:rRNA from 1 species
GACGAACGCUGGCGGCGUGCUUAACACAUGCAAGUCGAACGAUGACGACCGAGCUUGCUCGGUCUGAUUAGUGGCGAACGGGUGAGUAACACGUGAGCAACCUGCCCUUCACUCUGGGAUAACCUCGGGAAAUCGGGGCUAAUACUGGAUAUGAGCUCCUGUCGCAUGGCGGGUGUUGGAAAGUUUUUCGGUGAAGGAUGGGCUCGCGGCCUAUCAGUUUGUUGGUGAGGUAGUGGCUCACCAAGGCGAUGACGGGUAGCCGGCCUGAGAGGGCGACCGGCCACACUGGGACUGAGACACGGCCCAGACUCCUACGGGAGGCAGCAGUGGGGAAUAUUGCACAAUGGGCGAAAGCCUGAUGCAGCGACGCCGCGUGAGGGAUGACGGCCUUCGGGUUGUAAACCUCUUUCAGCAGGGAAGAAGCGAAAGUGACGGUACCUGCAGAAGAAGCGCCGGCUAACUACGUG